AUACCUUAGCCACAGAUCCAUUCAGGGGAAGUUCGUUAUUGUUGUCUAUUUUACCAGAAUUAUUGCUCAAAUUAAAAUUACAGUGAUCAAGAUCUGAUAAUAGGUUGCUGUCCAACGGGUCUUCAGAAACAUAAUGACAUGUCUCAUGGUUGUCAAUAGAAAGACCAUUUUCUGGGUCAACCAUGAAGUGGCUAUCACUUGUAUCUGAGCCCAACAAACUGUGUUCACCCACAUUUUGUCCAGAAGCAUCUCCUGAUAUAAUAAAGUUAGCAAGAGUCUUUUGUGUCGGAUUAGAUAGAUGACCGUCUUUGUCCUCAUUGAAAUGAGACAUGCGCAGGCCUACAAAAGACAGCAGAAUUGGGGUUUCGAAAGGGAGAAAAAAAAAUUCUUUUUUCUAUAAAAAUGGAGUUAAUAUGUUGGAAAUUAACAUAGUUACAAUGCAUCAAGUGGCUAUUAAUUUUAGAAAAGAAUAUGUUUUAGUGAGUUCCUCAAAAUUGAGACAAAUGGUCUAUUGCUAUCUGGCUUUGAUUAUACUUGGAAUAAUGAUGAUGUAUUACAGGACAGGGCCAUCCCUGAUGAAUUUGUGACUACAAUAUCAUUUGGUUUAUUAUUUUCUGUUAUCCCUGCACAUGAAGUGUAAAAUUUUCUUUUUAGCCAAUUCCAAUCACAAAUUGGAUGAUGAUAACUGUUGAUGAUGUUUUUUCCUUUUAACUUUUCUUGGAUAAGUAUGUGAAAGAUGUUAUUAUGCCUUGGUUAUUAAAAUGAGAGUUUACUGACUGAAAGUUGAAGGGUUUGAAAUUAAAUAUGGCCUUUAGCAGGGUGCUUAGGGGAAACCUAUGAAAUCCCAAUAUGGAAUGGAAAUACACUCCUGCUUAAUGUAGAGCUUAAUGUAUUGAUCUUUGCUUUACACUGAUCAAAGCACGCUCUUCACAUUAGUGCUAAUUUUUCAUAUUUUUUGUGGCAUAUUUUACAUGUUCAACUUUCUCAACCAUUACUACUGGUAAAAUUUCAAUAGCCUUACAAUUACUCGCUCCCGGAUAGAAGCUUCAAUUCCUCACAAACAUGGGCCUGCUAUUGCUGGUUAUGAGGCAGUAGCUUGCUUGAUCUUAUCCAUAAACUAUUUCUAAAAGUACCUUAGUGGCUGUAAGCAUGUUUGUUAGAAAACUUACAAUACAAUGAUAUAAUUCAUUUUCCUGAUGUAAAUCUUAUUUAUUGCUUGGCUGUAUCUCAUCUGAAGUGUAUUUUAUGGUACAAAUAUAAUGCACAAUACAAUGAUACACGUACAACAAUACAUAUAAACAACAAAUAUUAAUAUUUGCCUAGUGAGAAUCUGGAACUAAAAUUUAUAGCCAAAAAUUCAAAAAGCUUUGUUUUGUGGAUUUUGUAAGACACCUAUGCAUUAAAGUAAAAAAUUGGGGAAAAUGACUCAUUAUUUUUUGUAAGAAUCUGCUUCUUCCAGGUUUAAUACAUAUUUAUGGGAAUCUUCUUGACAUAAGACAUAUGGAAGCAACUUCAAAAAGUUACAGAAAAAGAAAAGUGAAAGCCUCUACACUUCCUAAUAAAUAUUUUAUCUUCUUAUUUAUUAUAAUUACUAGAUUUAUCGAGAAACCAUCAUUACAAAUGCUUAAGUUUUUCAAAUUAUUUUUAAAUUUGUUUUCAUAAUUUAUUAACUUUAUAAAAUUGGAAGUGAUUAUUAAAUUUAUUUUUGUUUCUUUUUCUCCUCUAAAAAAAUAUAUACUUUUUAUUAUAUAUAUAUAUAUAUAUAUAUAUUUUAAAAAUUUAUUAGGAUGAAGGAGAUUUGAGUGUGUCAUUUUUCAAUCAUCAUUUUUAUAAAGAUAAUACUAUUGCGCAUCUAACAAUCUCUUCCCCAUUAUAGGGCUCCUAGAACUCGAAUCAUGACCAAACUCUAGGGCUCCUAGAACUCGGAUCAUUUAAUGACAUGUGGAACAUUUAAUAGCACUUAUACAAAUGCUAACAACUUUAUAAAACUGUAAAAAGACAUGUAGAACCUAGGCUGGAUCUCCAAACCAUGAAAAUUGCUUGUAAUUAUUGGUUAGCUUUUGAAUUGUAUCAUAUAUUAGAAAAUGUAUCAAAUUCUCAAUUAUUAUAAAUUCCUUUUGGUAAAGAAUAUUGUAUAAAGUAUUUUCUAAGUUAAUUUAUUAUUGUGAUAUCAUAUUUCCUCAUAGAAUAAGGAAAGUUAUUUAGAAUAUUUUUAUAAAUAUUUUAGGCCAUAGAGGGAAAAAUCUAUAAGAUCGAGAUAGACUCCUAAAGAUUAUAAAAUAUUUGAAGAACUCAAUAGUUAUAAAUAAUAAAAAAACACUAAAACCAAAUUUAAUAUAUAGAAAAUAUUAGUUUUUACUUCAAAUUUAACUUAUUAAAUUAUAAAUUGUAGAAAUUUAAUUAAAUUAAUUUUUUUUUAAAAUUAACUAGACAUAAGCAAAAGUGUAUUAACUAUUCCGCUUUCUCUUUUUCAAUUAUUUAAAUGGAAAAUAUUAAAACAUUUAUAGUCGUAACUAUUAAUUAUGUUGAAUAUGUACACAUUACAUCCAUUCUUGAACAAAUUUAAAAAAAUUUCCUACUUAAUUUGGGUAGCUUAAACAAAGACAUUUUAAUUGUUAAUGGAAAAAUAAAAACCUUUUAUUCAAUUUUAAUGGUAAUAAAUAAUAAGAAAAUAUUAUUAAUAAAAAACAUUGAAUUAUUUGGAUAUUAAGGUGUUAUUUGUUAUUUGAUAUUGUUAAUAACAUACCCUAUUAUUGUUAUUUGUUAUUUCAUUACAAAUUGAUGUUAUUAGUAAUGUUUUAUAUUGUGUAAUUUUGUGGUUAAAAAUGAAAUUGAUUUGAUUUUUUUGGCUUCUUCUAUAGGUAAACUAUGUCUAAUUUAUCGGUGGCAAUAGUUUGUUUUUGUAAUGGGAAAAUGGUGAGAACACAGACCGAUGUUGAUUAUGUUGGGGAUAGAGUUGUGGUUGAACCUAUUGAUGUGCCUCUUGGGACAACAUAUGAACAACUGUUGGAAAUGAUAUACUCGGUCACUGACAUCAAUAAAGAACAUUUUCGAUUAAUACUUAGUUGUAAGUAUCCUAUGAAAAAAGGGAACAAAUUCCAACCUUGCCCAGUAAAGAAUGAUAGUGGUGUAGCUCGAAUGUUAGAAAUGCAUAACAGAUUUGGGAUGGAUGAAGUUGAGUUAUUUGUUGAACAAGUACCUAUUGACUUACAAAUGAAUUCACCACUUGGUAAUUGCAUGCCUUUGUUACUUGGUGAAAAUGAUGGUACUAGUAAGUUCAAAAUCCAUUUACUUUUGAGCAUAGAUCAGAAGAGGAUGAGGAAGACGAAGAAGGAACACAAUGUGAUGAUGACAGUGUAAGAGCUGAGGAUGUUCAUAAUGAUGAUAAUCAAGAUAGGGAAGGUAGCUCGCCUUUUUUAUCUGUUCGUGAGGCAAUUGAAAGAGAACAAAUGAGAUAUGUGGCUGUGGAUGGGGAAGGAUGUAACUUGUCAAACAAUCCAGAUACAGAGGAUUUAGAUGACCCAAUUGAAUUAUCUCCAAUGCAAUAUCAUUUGGCACCAUCACCACAGUUUGAAAAUGUUGAAAACAUUGGUCAUGUUGUGUCAAGUGAAUGGACCCCAUGGGGAAACACUCUUAUGGGACAUCCAACUGGAGAGUUCAUAGUUGGACAAAUCUUUAAUUCCAAAGGAGAUUUGCAACAUGCUGUAAAGAUGUACUCUAUUAAUUCGCACCAAGAGUAUAUCGUUUUGUCAUCCACAAAGAAAUUGUUGGUCCUAAGAUGCAAGAAAGCUGAACAGUCUCAAUGUCCUUGGAGACUACGUGCUACAGUUGUUAAAGGGACAUCUUUAUUUGAGAUCAACAAAUAUAGUGGCCCACACACAUGUGUCAAUCCUUGCAUGAACCAAGAUCAUCAUCAGUUAGACUCAAACCUGAUAGCCGCCCAUAUAGAGGGAAUGAUUAAGACACAAUUCACACUUUCAGUGGCUGCCAUUCAAGCAAGUGUUGUAGAAAGAUUCGGGUACCAUAUCUCAUACACUAAGGCUUCGAAAGGCAAGCGUAAAGCAUUAACUAAUUUGUUUGGUGAUUUCUAUAAAUCAUACGCUAAACUGCCACAUUUUUUUGGUGCCUUAGAGCAAGCCAAUCCAGGAUGUGUUGUAAUUUCUAAAACAUUCCCAGGAAAUAUGCGAAAUGAAGAGGUAUUUCAGCGAGUCUUUUGGGCAUUUCAUCCUUCCAUAGAGGGCUUCAAGCAUUGUCGUCCUGUGUUAACUAUUGAUGGUACACACUUGUAUGGGAAGUAUAAGGGCACUGUAAUGAUUGCCAUGGGCUGUGAUGGAAAUAAUCAAUUGUUUCCUUUUGCUUUUGCAUUAACUGAGGGUGAAAAUGUUGAUAGUUGGGGAUGGUUUUUGGCAUGUAUUAGAAAUCGAGUAACUCAAAGGAGGGGUCUUUGUGUUAUCUUUGAUCGUCAUCCGAGCAUUAUGGUUGUGUUUGCUGAUGUUUACCUUGGUUGGUCUGAGCCAAAUGCAUAUCAUCGAAUUUGUAUGCGCCAUCUUGCUAGCAACUUUAUGACUCACUUUAAGGACAAAUGCUUGAAACAACUUUUAUGCAGAGCCGCCUUAGAAACUAAGGUAGAAAAAUUCAACAUGCAUAUGGAGACAUUGGGAGAAUCGAUCAAAACGCACUCAGUUGGUUGGAGGGUAUUCACUUUGAGAAAUGGGCACUAUCACAUGAUGGAGGUCGACGAUAUGGCAUAAUGACUACAAACAUGUCAGAAGUGUUCAAUAGUGUGCUUAAAGGGGCACGGAGUUUCCCUAUCACCGCAUUUGUUCAAUUGACAUUCUAUCGACUUAAUAGUUACUUUGUUGUAAGAAGAGAACAUGAUGCUAGUCGACUUGCUUCAAGUGAACAAUACACUCCUUAUGUUGAUGCUAAGAUUAAUGCAAAUGUUGUUAAGGCAGGUUCUCAUGAGGUUGUUUUGUAUGAUCACUUCCAAGGACUGUUUCAUGUGAAGGCUAGUAGGGGUAGCAAAAAGACAUCAUCUGGUGGAAGAACACAUCGUGUUAACCUACGUGAGCAUGUAUGCACAUGUGGCAAAACACUCAUAUAUGGAUUCCCAUGUAGUCAUAUUCUAGCGGCAUGUCAUUUUCGUUCAAUUGAUUUUAGAUCAUUUGUUCAACAUUAUUACACUAUACAAUCGUACUUUAGCACUUGGGCACCACUGUUUAACCCCAUACACAAUGAGUACGAGUGGCCACCAUAUGUUGGUCCAGUUAUUGUGCCUGCAGAUUCAAUGAAACGUGUGUCAGGUGGACGACUUAAAUCUACUCGUUUGCACAAUGAAAUGGAUGUUAGAGAAGGUAAAACCUCAGUUACAUGUGGUUUGUGCAAACAAAGUGGUCACAAUCGUCGUUCUUGUCCAAAUAAGAACAUGGGUGCUGGGCCUUCAUGAUGGGUGCUAGGCUUUGGAUGUUGAUAUUAUGUUAUUUGUAUUUUGGACAAUACUUAUGUUAUAAGAGAGACUUUGCUGUUAAUUUCAAAAUUGUAAUAUGAAUAUUUUGAUGAAUCAGGUUGUUUGUAUUUUGGAGAAUACCCUAUUUAUAAGGGAGACUCUAUCGAAAUUUUUAAUAUUUGGAUGCGAACAUCAUAUUAUUACAUUUUUCUUUUCAUUAUUGUCCUUGGAUAUUGAUAUUGGUUGUAGAUGAAUAUUUUGAUUAAUCAGGUUUUUUUUUUGUAUUUUGGAGAAUACCCUAUUUAUAGGGGAUACUCUGCCGAAAUUUUUAAUAUUUGGAUGUGAACUUUAGUGUUUGAUAAUUUUUUUUAAAUUAUUGUACUUGGAUAUUGAUAUUGGUUGCAAAUAAAUAUUUUGAUUAAUCAGGUUAUUUGUAUUUUGGAGAAUACCCUAUUUAUAGGGGAUAUUCUGCCGAAAUUUUUAAUAUUUGGAUGUGAACUUUAGUGUUUGAUAAUUUUUUUUAAAUUAUUGUACUUGGAUAUUGAUAUUGGUUGCAAAUAAAUAUUUUGAUUAAUCAGGUUAUUUGUAUUUUGGAGAAUACCCUAUUUAUAGGAGAUACUCUGCCGAAAUUUUUAAUAUUUGGAUGUGAACUUUAGUGUUUGAUAAUUUUUUUAAAAUUAUUGUCCUUGGAUAUUGAUAUUGGUUGCAAAUAAAUAUUUUGAUUAAUUAGGUUAUUUGUAUUUUGGAGAAUGCCCUAUUUAUAGGGGAUACUCUGCCGAAAUUUUUAAAAUUUGGAUGUGAACAUUAGUGUUUGACAAUUUUUUUUUAAAUUAUUGUACUUGUUGGAUAUUGAUAUUGGUUGCAAAUAAAUAUUUUAAAUUAUAAUAGUAACAUUAUUUUAUUAUGACAGUAUAGUAAUGGAGCAUAGAGAGGGCAGAUUCGAUCCAGAUCCAUUAGAUUGCUCUAUUUUAGCGCUACAGGACAGACAUAGGUCUCAAUUAGUGGAUUCUGGUCAGGUAUAUAUGUAUAUAUAAAUAUAGAUGUAUAGAAAAACAUAAUCAUAAACCUUAAUUAAGUUCUUAUUUAAUCGAAAUGGUAUCUUUUGUAGCUUAAUCAGGUAUUGACAUGUCGACAACGUUUAUGGACAUUCAUGCGAGAGUGGGAGAUGGACCCUCGUAUUCGGCGAUAUGUGAUGCAGUCUGGAUUUUAUGGUGUAUAUCGUGUCGGACACAUUUCACUAGAUUGGCCAUUGAUCACGAGUCUUGUUGAGCGAUGGCGGCCCGAGACACACACAUUUCAUUUACCUAUUGGAGAGAUGACUGUUACUUUACAGGAUGUAGCCAUGAUUCUUGGAUUACGUAUUCAUGGGCCUCAUAUCACUGACACAUGUGACAUAGAUUGGUCACUACUAUGUUUUGAGCUUUUAGGUGUCGUCCCACCUCCAUCUCAGAUUAGAGGGUGAUCUAUAUCAGCACGAUGGUUGCGUGAGCAGUUCUCAUAUCCACCAGCAGGGGUCGAUGAUGUUAUUUUACAGCGUUAUGCGCGUGCUUUCAUAUUAGCACUAUUGGGUGGAGCAUGGUUCGCAGACAAGACUGGCACACAUGUACAGUUAUGUUACCUUCCACUGUUGAGAGACUUCACUGAGAUUUCUCACUAUAGUUGGGGCAGUGCAGUGUUGGCAUACCUAUAUGGAGAGCUAUGUCGUGCGAGUUUAGAUAGUGCCACAGAGAUUUCUGGACCUAUCACACUAUUACAGGUAUUUCGACAUAACUAUCUAUUAUAAUUAAUUGACUCACAUUAUUGUUGUAAGUUGUCUAAUUUUGAUAAUGUUAUCUGAUUUUGUAGUUGUGGUCAUGGGAGAGACUUCAUGUGGGUCGACCUGAUUUCGAUCGUCCUCCAAUGCCUAUAGUAGUCCCACAUGUACAUGAUGAUGUAGUUGAUGGUUUACAUGAUCAUCUAUUGCCAGAUGAGCCACUCCCAAUCCAUCCAUUGGGCCAUAGGUGGAGAGUACCCCUGUCUUGGUCUCAUAACCCAUCACCACAUGUGUUGACAUUCUAUCGAGAUCAAUAGGAUGCCCAGACACAGGAUCAGGUAAAAUGUAGAUGCGUAAGAUUACCUUUGCAAUAUUUUCCACCAAUGUGACUAAUUAUUUUUUAAAAAAAUUACAGGUAUUAUGGGAACCAUAUACAGCAGAUUUGAUUGCACAUCUUCCGGCUAUAUGUCAGGUUGACGAAGAAAUUUGGCGAACUAUGUCACCUCUAAUUUGCUUUGAUAUUAUCGAGUGGCAUAGACCAGAGUGAGUUUUACGCCAAUUUCAUAUGCAACAAGGGAUACCUCCACCUUGUUUGAUAGAUAUGGAGCUACAUUUAGUGGAUAGGCGAGGACGACAUCAAUACGAUUGGGUCACAUUCCAUGCUCAAUAUAUUUCUCUUUGGGCUACUCAUUCUAAGCGUAUUGCGACAGCACCACUUGUGAUUACUACCAUGUCUUUUUAUGAUCCAUAUAUGCAGUGGUAUCGACGUAUCACGCGAUGCCUGAUCGCACCUGUUUUGCAUAGAGAUCAUAUGAGGUUCCAUAGUACAGCUUCUGCCACUGAGUUAUUGGUGAGAGCAUUUGAGAUACAAAACCAUUUUUUAAUGAAUGUUAAACUUAAAUUAUGUGCAAAUGCCUCAUGUUUUAUUUUCUUAUACAGAUCACCGCCGUAUCGCAGAUGGCUAUUUCAAAUGAUUUGGAGGAAACUCACCGAAUUGCUAUUGAUGUUUUACGUGCUAUAGGAGAGGACCAUCGCGUACACUCGACACAUGAGCCAUCCACAUCUUCAGGAUCAUCCAUGAGACCACCAUCAUUGAUUACGCCUGUUAGGGUACCACCCAUUAGAGGUCGGGGGAGAGGUGGUCGUCGAGCUGGUCACCGACAUGUACCUUUGGCAUCUACUUUGGUACAACCCUCACAUCCACCAGUCACAUCUACCUUUCCUUUAUUUCAGCCAUCUACAUCAUUAGAGUUGCCACUUUCUCCCCCUGAUGUAUCCAUACCAGCCUAUUCACCUCGACCCGAGACUACCAUACCAUCUACCCUUACCCCUGUUCAGCCAUCUAUAUCAUUGGAUGCACCCCCACCUAUUGCAGAGUCUUUUGCACCCCCACCUAUUAUAGAGUCUAUUGCACCUCCACCUGUUACAGAGUCCGUUGCACCUCUACCUUUUCUUCAAGGGACAGCUCAUGCUGCACGAUUACAUGUACGGGUACCUAGAGGACAUCGAGCUCCACGUGUACGUCGAGUUCUACCUCCAUCAGUUCCAUCUAUCUCGACAACUCAUGUAGAUGACGUGUCAUAGUCUAUAGAGAUGGAGACUUUUCAGAUAGCAUAGAUGGAUACAACAAAUAUGGCCAUCUACCGUAGAUGUUCACAACGAAAGAGAAAGAUUCCAUCAUGUGGGACACAUUGAGAUCUUUUUUCAUGUUUGUAGAACUAUUAUACUUUGGUUUAUACAUUUAAGGUUAUAUAAAGUGUUAAUUCAAAUUAGUGAUGUUAUGUUAUUCACAUGUUUCCUUGAUAAUUUAAACAAAUAAAACUCAAAUGCAUCCUAAAGUCUAAAUGAAAGAAAUUCUAACUAAAUAAAUUAUUACAACCAUUACCUAUUUUUCUUUCAUAUAAUUAAAAAAUUAUACAUUUUAACCAAGACUUAAGUUCAAAUCAUACUUAAUAAUAAAUAACCUAAAAUCAUAAUCAUUGGCAUUAAUUUUCAUAUGAAAAUAUAAAAUUUUAAAAUAAUAUAAACAAUUUCUUUAGUUAUUUUAAAAUUUUAAAAUAAUAUGAAUAAAUAAUUUUCUUUAGUUCAUAUGUGAAAAUAUUUGUAAAACAAAUAAAUAUUUUAUUUACUAUAAAUAUAUAAAUUUUUAUGGGAGUGCAAGUAGACCAAAUUAUUUUCUCAAAUUUCCAAGGAAAAUAUGAAAAAAUAAAGAUAAUAUAUAUAUAUAUAUAUAUUUAAAACAGUCGUAACAAAAAAAUUUAUGAAAAGCAAAGUUCUAAAAUCCCAUACUUUUUUAUACAUGAGUUCCCCUUAAAAAUAUUUGUGAAAAUUACAACAUAAUUGUAAUUUUGAUAAAAAAAAAUAUUUUAAAAAUAAUAUUAAAAUUACAACACCAUUAAAAUAUUGAAAAUAAUUGUAAAACCACAAUUACUAACUGUGGUUUUAUGGUUGUUUUGAUAAAAAAUAUUUUUAAAAUAAUAUUAAAAUUACAAUACUAUUAAAACAAGUGUGAAUUAAAAAUAAUUGUAAAACCAUAUUUGCUAACUAUGGUUUUAAGGGAAAUUGUAAAACCACAGUUUGUAACUGUGGUUUUAAGGAUACUUCUUUUAAAACCAUAGUUAUAGUAACUAUGGUUUUAUGGGUAUUUUGAUAAAAAAAAUAUUUUAAAAAUAAUGUUAAAAUUACAACACCAUUAAAAUAGAUGUGGAUUGAAAAUAAUUGUAAAACCACAGUUAGUAACUGGGGUUUUAUGGUUGUUUUAAUAAAAAAUAUGUUUAAAAUAAUAUUAAAAUUACAAUACUAUUAAAACAGGUGUGGAUUAAAAAUAAUUAUAAAACCACAGUUACUAACUGUAGUUUUAAGAGAAAUUGUAAAACCACAGUUACAAACUGUGGUUUUAAGGAUACUUCUUUUAAAACCAUAGUUAUAGUAACUAUGGUUUUAUGGGAAUUUUGAUAAAAAAUAUAUUUUAAAAAUAAUAUUAAAAUUACAACACCAUUAAAAUAGAUGCGGAUUGAAAAUAAUUGUAAAACCACAGUUACUAACUGUGGUUUUAUGGUUAUUUUGAUAAAAAUUAUUUUAAAAAUAAUAUUAAAAUUACAACACCAUUAGUAAAACCACAAUUAGUAACUGUGGUUUUAUUGUUGUUUUGAUAAAAAAAUAUUUUAAAAAUAAUAUUAAAAUUAUAACACCGUUAAAAUGGGGAUGGAAUAAAAAUAAUUGUAAAACCACAGUUAUUAACUGUGGUUUUAAGGGAAAUUGUAAAACCACAGUUUAUAACUGUGGUUUUAAGGAAACUUCUUUUAAAACCGUAGUUAGUAACUAUGGUUCUAGGAGAAAUUAUAAAACCACAGUUUGUAACUGUGGUUUUAAGAAAAUUUAUGUAAGUUUUAAAACCACAGUCACCAACGGUGAUUUUUUACACUUAAAAUCCAUAUGGAUGCUUACUUGGACAAAGAAAACUACUUUGACAAAUAUUUUCAAAUGGAUACUAUUCUUAUUAUUUUUUUUUACAAAUAUAUUAUUUUGUUCUUAAACUCCAUUAAUCCUGUUGUCAGAAUCCCAUCCCGUGUUAGACUGCAAAAGUCUAAUAAUAAAGGUCUUGAUAAGGAGAAAUCACAAGAGCAUUUAUUACAUCAAUAAUUAUUAGCAAUCAUCUGGAGCCCACGAUCAAGAAGAGGAUCCAGCUGGAAACCUAUUCAAAAAUGUCAUCAAUCCCAGUAUUUAUUUCUUACUUUAUUUUUUUAUUCCAUUCAUUUGCUUAUCACUUUUUUUGUUUUUCCCUUUUUAUCUCGUUACAUCUUUAUCCCGAUAUUUAUACUUUCAUUAAAUAACUUAAAUUUUUUUUAUAUAUUUUAAUGAUGAAAUUUAAAAUCUUUACUUUCAUAUAUUUUUCCUUUUAUACUUUUUGUUACCCAUUAUUAUUAUUAAAUAUUAAUAUUACUAUUAAUAUAAUUAUUUAUAAUAUUAAUAUUUUAAAUUAUUCAUAUUAUUAUUAAUAUCAUUCUUAUUAAUAUUAUCUAUUAUUUUUAUGAUCAUUAUUCACCUUAUUAGUCAUAUUUUUAAUAUUAUAAUAAUAAUAAUUUUAUUAUAUUUAUAUUAUUAUUAUUAAAAAAACCCUAAAAGAUAUUUUCUAAUUUUUUUUAAUUCUUAUGGUUCAUAAGCUUUAUUAAAAAAAUUAUUCUGUGCUUUUUAACCUUUUAACUUCAUAUGCUACAUUAAAAUUAAUUAUAUUAUUAUUAUUACUUUACAAAUAUUAUUUUUAUGAUGUUAAUUUUAUAUUUUAUUAUUAAUAUUAUUAAUAAAACUAAUAUUAUAUCCAAGUUAUAGGUGUGAAAAUAUGGUGGCAUUAUUAGCUGGCUUUUCAGUCAUUCCGAUGAAGAAAGUAAUAAAAUAGAGAGAGAUGAGAAAUGUUGAACUGUCGGUUGCAUUAUUGGCCAGCUGGCUUUGAAUCAUUCUGACGAAGAAAGUGAUAAGAGUGAUAUGAAUAUGACCUUUUUCAUUCGGAUGAAGAAAGUAACAAAAUAGAGAGAGAUGAGAAAAGUUGAACUGUUGGUUGCAUUAUUGGCGUGCUGGCUUUGAAUCGUUCUGACGAAGAAAGCGAUAAGAGAUAGAAAGACGAGUGAUAGGGAAAUGACGAGUUUUAGAUGGGGAAGCCUUUUUCAAAAUCAUUAUCACACUAGAUUAGUAUCCUUCCCCAUAUUUUAAAUUCUAGGGCAGUGCGGCCGGUUCUUGGAAAAACGGUUCAAUUACCCCUCCUCUAAACAGGUCCUCCUUCCAUUUAAUGGAUUUUUGGCGGAAGCCCAACCCAUAUUGCCACCACCUAUUUGUUGGUUUUUAGGCAAAAAGCCUGUCCAAACAAGCCCGCCUUACAUUGCCACAUGCUGGGCUCAACCUUAAACCCACAAGGCUUGGACAUGUCAACACCUUGGCUGAGUUCUCCAUAUCCUUCUUACCAUCUGUUGUGGGAUUGAUGGACCUCAAGUUGAGGAGAUGACAUGGGCACCACUCUGAUGCUUAUUAUAUCAAACAAAAGAAAAUAUAUUAUUUUCUAAAAUAAUUUAUAAUAACAAUAUAAUAUUUUUAAAAAUAUAAAAUUAUCCCUAUGCCAACUUGACAGUCAAACUAAAGCAUUUACACACUUUACUAAAAACAUAAAAGGGUUUUUCUUGUUUGUUUAGUAAUGUCAAGCUUUGGCAUUGUUAUUGAAUGAAGAAUUUUCAUCUCUAUUAUUGAUUUUUUUAUUUAAAACUAAAGCAUUUCAAAUUUAUUAUUAAAAAAAGGUUUCAAAUUUAUUUAAAAUAAAAAUUAAAAAUUUUAUCUUUAUUUUAUUUAAAAGAAAUUUUCAAUUUUAUUUUAAGAGAAAAGACUUCUUAGUUUUAUUAAAAAAAUUUAAAAUUUUAUUAUUAUUUAAGAAAAAUAUUUUUUUUUCUUUCUUUUUUUUUUUUUGUCUUAAAAGAUGAUUUUGUUAAAAAAAAAAAAAGGAAAAUUUUUUUUUAUUUAAUUUAAUUCAAAAGUUAUACAAUGUUAUUUUAAAGAAAGAUUUGACAAUUUUAUUGAAAAGGAUUUUGUAGUUUUAUUUAGAAAAAACAUUUUUGAUAGUCUUUUCUUAAAAAGACAUUUUCCUACACAGUUUAUUAUUAAACAAAAUUUUUUUGGACAGUUUACAUUUAAAAGACAUUUUUGGAUAGUUUAUUUAAAGACUAUUUUGGAAAAUUUUAUUUAAAAAUCAUUUUUGAUAUUUUUUAAAUUUAAAGUCAUUUUGACAGUUUUGAUUAAAAAAAAAUAUUUUGACAACUUUAUUUUAAAAAAAAAUAUUUACACAAUUUUUAUUCAAAAAACACUUUAGGUAGUUUUUUUUUUAAAAAAAAAUUAUUUUUAAAAAUGACCUGACAGUUUUUAUUUUAUCCUAAAAAAAGUUUCAAUGUUAUUUUAUUUAUAAAUAAAUAUACAAAACAGAAUACGGGAAAAAACCCAAAUAGGUAAUGCUAUUGCUAUAUAUAUCUACCCCUUCACUCGUCUUUGCAUCACUCACCCCACACACAUUCUCUUUCUCCUUUCACAUUUUCAGUUAAGUGAGUCUCAUACUCAACUUCUUACAUUCCUUUCUAGGUUAUUCUCUUGAUCAAAUAAUGUAGUAUUGUGUUGUUUUGCUUUAAAGGCAUGUCAUCAUCCGAUAAGUGAGAAGCAAUUGAAGGAGAUGGGAGAAACCUGAUCUCAGCCGGUUCCAUCCCAAAUGCCGCAGCAAUCUAGGCAGCAAUUGUUAGGAAUGGGGUCAUUUCUUAUGGUAUCAAGAUGGAAAUAUUCAUAGAUCUUCCUAUUGUUGGAAAGAUGAGUAUACCCAUUGAGGCAACUGGAAUGGUACCCGUACGCUUACCUUUUAUGAAUAUGAAUGCUGAUAUUGGUGUUGAUGGUAAAGAGGAGGAGAUAUACAAUUAGCAUGUACUAAAAAAAUUGGUGGGUUUAAACAUGUCUUUUUUUUUUUCCCCCCAAUUGACUGAGCCUCAAAAUUCCCACUUAUAUUUACAAAUCCCCAUUUAAUAAUUUGUAUGUGAUUCAUCACCACUUUGAUCACUACCUUUACAUUGUUAUAGAACCUCCAUCUCAUGCAUGUAUGCAUGCACAGAGUACGUACAUCUUUCUAGUAAUAGAUGGAUAAAAACUAUUUUUAUGCAUGCUUCCUCGUAUUACUAACCUUGGUUGCAAAUUGCAAUAUGUGAUUGCUUUUAUUUUUUUCUUCUAUCUCAUGCAUUCACUUGUGCACACAAUUCAUUGUUGCCAAUUUCAAUUCUUGCAGAAUUAGAGAAGGACCAUAGAAGAUGUCAGCAAAAGUGGUUUGCAUGAUGAGUUUCUACUUUCUAUUCUUCUUUUAUUGUCUAAGGUCAUCCUAAUAAUGGAUUAUUAAUAUUAUGUAAUUGGUUUGUAUGAUAAGUGCUUUCUCUUCUUCUUUUAUUGUGUCUAAGGUCAUCCUAGCUAAAAAUGAAUCAACAUUAGAAUAGUGUACGUGCUAGCAUUGACAUAGCAAGCCAUAACACAACUGCUUGCUCUCUAUUGUCAUAGGGGUUGCACAUAAGAGGAGAAUGAGCAAGAGUUAUACAACCGGCUCCCUUUCUAUAAAUUUAUUAUUAUGAAAAUUACAAGAUAAUUAACACUAAUAAAAAAUUUUAAAACUUAGAAAAAAUUGUCGAGAUUUAUUCGAUGACUAUUAUUAUUGAAUGUUUAAAUUAAAAAUAAAUUAGAAAUACGCACUAUUAUCUUGGAAAUAGUGAGUAGCAUGGUUGUGAUACAAUUCAUUUACAUUGUUGUAAACAUAAUUUAGCAUAGUUGUAAACACCAAGAAUAGAAUUAUUAUAAAUAUUUAAAAAUAUAAGGACAAAUAUAAUAAAUGAUAUAAAUGUAAAUAUGAUAAAUGAUGUUAUUAUAAAUGUUUCUAAAAAUAAGGUUAAACAAUGUGUCACAACAAAAAUCAUUUGAGUCUCUAUUAUAAAUCAUAGAUUAAAAAUAAAUCAGUAAUGUAUUAUAAUACUGAUUGCAUAGUUGUAAUACAAUGAAUUGACAUUUUUGUAAAUAUAAUAGGUAGCACAAUUAUAAAUGUGAUGAAUAGUAUCAUUGUAAAUAUUUCAAUAAAUAAAUAUAAAUAUAAUAAUGACAUUUUAUUAAAUAUGAUGCAUGUGUAGACAUAAAACAAGAAAAAGAAAAAGUGUAUUAAAUUACCACUAAAUUGAUCAUUAAACUUGUGACUUUUUAGUUCAAUAAAAAUUUGAUUUGACAAGGGAUGAAUCACAUAUGUUAAACAUGUGACAUGCCAUUCAAAAGGUUACAUAUGACAAAAUUUGGAAGGUUAUAAAAUCAAAUCUUACAAAAUAAAAUCAAAUAAAAUGAUUAAAGUCGAAUUAGAAAAAAAUAUUGUCCUGUUUAUAAAUUGUAUUCAAAAUGAAGGAAAUAAAUUUUUUAAUUGAAGUCAAAAGGAAAUUAAGAAGAAAUAUUUUCAUGUCCACAAAUUUCUUAAGUGAAUGAGAUAAUUUGUUUAAAUCAAGGAGUCAAAUUCUUUGAAUUAAAGAAUUAAAUCUUAAGGAUUUCAAAUUCUAAUAUUUAAUUUCAUUCAUAGAUAAAGGUGACUUUCUAAGAUGAAGGUGGAUGGAAGAAAAAGCUUUACCAUAGAAAUGGCUUGAUAGGAGGGUUUGACAAAGAUUAAUGCCCUCAUGCUCUCCACCAUGAUGAACAAGCUAUGCUAAAUCCCUCAAUUGAACUUCUAAAAAAAAAAAAAAAAAUCUUAUUAUCAUUCAAGUGGUUAACUCAAACAAAGUUUCACAAUAAAAGCUAUUUUCGGCUUUUAUUAUAGGUCACUGACCCAAAGAUCAAUAUUGUGAAUCUAUGGUGAGAUUUUCUCCUCUUAUAGAACUCCUAAAAUAGACCUCAUGGCUUGGAAUACCCACUAAACUAUUUUAAAUAAUAAAUAUAGUAAAAGGCUUGGUUGAAGAUCAUAUGAAAAAGAAGACUUCAUUCCACAAAAACUUGUCCAUAUAUUUGGCCUCAGACAAGUCAAGUGGGAAUUAUUUGUUUAAGAACAAUGUACAAUGAAUGAUGUGUUGAACAAUUAGCAAAUUUACUUGAAAUUAAAACAAUAACUUGGUGUUGGAGAUAUUAAACUAAUUUAAAUUUUAAGUCAAACAUAAUAAAAGACUUUAUCCAAGAUCUUGUAUUGUAUGGAAUAAAAAUUGACUUCUUGUUUUAUGUGUUUUUACGAUUUUAUUGUUCAAGUCAUGAAGGCAUAUCAAACCAUCAAUCCUCUAGAUCUUCAUAAGUUGAUCAUAAAAAUACAAAUCCUUAUGCUACUCAAAACUUGUGUAUACAUCCCAUGAAACUUGUAUAUAUUCGUGAUAUUACUAACGAUUUGAAAAUUAAACUAGAUUGAUCAGUUUCAUCGGUUUAAUAACAUAAUGAUCAUUACAAAAGUUAUAAAAUUAUCAUUUAUAUAAUUUGGACAUAUGGAUAAAAUUAAAUAAUAGAAAUUUUCCUCUAUUUUGUACAAGUUCAUAGUUAAACAUUAUGCAUAUUUUGUUUAAUAAAAUUUAAAAUAUUAAUAUAUUAUAUUUAUCUUAUGAUUUAAUUUGAUACUAUUAAAGAUAAAAAAAAAUUAAUUAUAUAUAUUUGGACAGUUAUAAUUAUUUUUUAUUUUAGUAAUAUAUAAAUUAUCUAUUUAGAACAUCAUGAUCGUUCAAUAGUGGUUCAACUAUUGAUUUGAUUAUUGAACCAUGAAUCGAUAAUUUUUUUAAUUCAAUGACCGAUUCAGUUAUAAAAAUAUUAGACAUUAUUAUUUACUAACUAUAAAACUAGUCUAAACAAAGCCUAAAUGUGAAAGUUGGCUAAAGGGAAGGGUCACCUUCAUUCCAAUGUUAUAAAAGAGAGCGGGGUUUUCAUUUCCAUGAACUGCUCAGCUAUGUACGACAAAAAAAUUUUCAUUUGAUGUUGGCUAGAUCUUGAAAUUAAUUUUUAAUAUGUACCAUAUAGAAAACAAAUUCUCAUUUUUCCUUCACUCUUAAUGCUUGGAAGUAUUGAGUUAUUUUGAAAAAAAUAAUAAAAAUAAUAAAGAGAAGCAUACCAAUGUAACUCCUAAAUAGUGCCAGAGCAAGAAAAUCUCACAUUUUGGUAAGUUUAUUGAAAGUAUAGUGACAGGUCUAAUACAAGGCAUUUCAGAACAACUUAAUGCUUACUAGUAUCAGUCUUGUCCUAUCUAAGAAAUUAGUUGUUAUUCUCAAAUACUCUAAUUCCUUCAAAUAGGGAGGGUUGUGUUUGGGUGAUUGCUCUUGAAUCCAUCUUCUAGUGAUUGUGCUUUCAUGUCGAGGGACUUUACGUAUUAUAAUAAAACCUUGACAAAUAAACCUUUUAUAAAUUCAUAAUUUCAAUUAAAAAAUAAAAUCUUUUGGUCUCAGGCCAAUUUACAAAAUUAAUAACCUUGUUGAAUGUACAAGAUAAUGUUUUUUUAUAUUAAAAAAAAUCCUUGAAAACCCAAGAAAAUAUAAAUUAAUAAUUGAAGUCCACAAAAAAUAGUAAAUAAAAAUUUAUUAUACUAUAUUUAGUAAUGUUUUUAAAACUUAUAUUUUUCUCAAUUCAAUAUUUUCUCAAAACCAUAACAUAUUUAAAACCAUUUUAUCUUCUAUAAUAUUAACUUUUGAUAUAAUAUUUCUUCCUUUUACAACUUUUUUUAACUUUUAUAAUUAAUAACCAUAUCUUUUUUUAGAGUCUUAAGUUUCUAUGUAUUAAUUUUUGAAUACAUUCAUAAUUUUUUGUUGUGAAUUUAUAAAUCAUACAUGUAUAAUUACUUACAAAAGAAACAUAACAUUUUUUUUUAAUAAAUUACUAAUUAUUCAUUUAUUGAUAAAUCAAUAACCUCAUUAAGAUAAUAAUUUUUUUGAUGUAAUGCUUUUACUUUUCUAAAUUUUCAACAAAGCCAUGACCAAGAAAACUAAAAAUGGCUAAGAUAAUAUGUUAGUUUACAACUGAUUCAUCCAAGUUAAGUCUAUUAGAGACUAGAAUAAUAUGAAUUGAUUAAAUAAAUGGAAAGACCUGUACACCAAUAAAAGAAUUAUAACUAAAUUCUCAAGUAUCAUUGAUCAAAUCACAAUAUAUUUGGCCUAUGAAAUGAUGGUUUGAUGUGCCUCUACAUUUGGAUCAUAAACAAGUGUUCACAAUAUGAGAUAUAACUAUUCAAGCAUUUGGAAAAAUAACUAGAAUGUUGGGUACUAGGAAUUGGUUACAAAAUAUUUAUGAAGUUAAUAGAUAUGAAAUAUCCUCAACAACACAUUCAUUGCUUAAUAUCAAUACAUAUAGGCAAGAAUAAUACUAAUAAAGUUUCCUAAAUUCACUAACAAUUUAAAUCAUGGAGAGUUGAAUUGUAGCAAUCUAGAAAUAUCAAGCUUUAAAGCAAAGCAUACAAAAGAUCUAGCUUAUUUAUUGAAAGAAAUCAAGACACUUAGAGAGAAAAACCUUCCGCUAGUUAAUUUAAAUGAAGGAAAUAUCAUUAACUAGCGUCUUUCUGCCAAGGAUGGUAUCUGUGCAGCUCCUCAAAAGAAGGAAAUCUCACAUACCUGACAAAAAAAAUGAAGACAAUAAGAACAAAAAGCCCUUAUACUAAGAUAAGAUAAUAUAUAUAUAUCAUAUAUGUCAAAGAAAAAUACAAACACCUAUUCAUUUUUCUUCAUAUAGAAAAAUUAAAUCAGUUGUCCUGGUUGUGGUCUGUCAUCAUCUUCAUCCUCCUAUUCAUCCUCUCACUUCUCUCCCACUCCCUCCUCUUUCUAUCCCUCUCCACCAUCCUCAUCUUUCUCAUCACAUCCUCCUCUUCGUUGACCUCAUCAUCAUCGUUGUUGACCACAUCAUCGGUCACUAUCUCCAUAAUCCCAUUCUUUAGAAUCCUGGGCAUUCGAUACACAAAACAUCACAAUGGGUAGGAAUAAGGAAAAGUAUAAUAAUAAAAGUUUUAAAAAGCAAUUAGGAUAGGAGCACAAAUCAUGGAAUGGUAGAUCAAACUACUGCUAUAUUGUAUCCUUGUCUCCUUUAGAAGUGAUAGUGUAUUUAGCCCAGAAUCUUGGGCUAGAGUUGGACAACAUUUGGUAAAGACCCAUAAACAACGUUAAGUCCCAGCAGGUUCUUCUAUCCACAAAUGAGAGUAAGAAUUUCGUAUAAUUGUUUGCCUUUAACCUUUGACCAAAGGAAGGACAUCACUAUCAAUAUGAACAUGUCCAUUGCUUAUCUCCAAAGAUUGAAUGUUUUUGUUAACAAAAUAAAAAAUUAAAAGUUGCGUGAUUAAAUGUUUACAAUAAGUGACAAAGACUGGACAAUCCUUACUUCACUUAUUGCUCCUAAAUGAUGUGUAUUCCAUCAUAAAAUUAAUUUUCGGUACUUUGAAACAAAUCUAAGCAAAAUAAAAUUUCUAUUUUCUUCGUACUUUUGCUUGUGACUAGUUGAAUUGAUAGUUUGUGAAACCCAACACAACUAUCAUUCACCCUAGGUUCUAACAACACUUCAAUUUUCUAAUCCAAUUAAACUCCUUAACUCAAAAACAAAGUAGAAAAGGAAAACACUAUGUACAAUAGAUAAUCAUUUUCUAUCAAUAUCCAAUAUUAUCCUCAAUCAAACAUCAAAUAUUAAAGAAUUUUGAAAUUUUGAGAAUGAUUUACCUUCAAAUGUGUUUGUAUUCUAACUUAUAAUUUCAACCAUAAUAAUAGACUGUCUCAAGGUCUACAUUUAAACUAACUGAAAAUCUAUGUAUGAAUAUUUUGGCAAACACUUUUUGCACAAAAAACCCCUUGACCUCUUCAUGCUUGCCUUUAAAUUUGUUGAAAUUCCUAGGAAUGGUUACUCAUGUUUUAAAGGUUAGGCAUCAAAGAUUGGUAGGUAUAGCUACUAAGCUAAGGGAACAAUUAACAACUAACAAAGCAAACUUAACCCAAAUAGACAAUAAACUAAGCAACAACAAACAAUAAGAGCAUAAAAGGAUCCAUACAAACCCAUGCAGAAUUCUGCUUCCAUCAAAUCAGGUUCCUUGUACUAAAAAAUUAAACAGACUAAACAUAACACAAACAUUAUAUGGGUUUGCUCUGUGUCUUUUUCUCACAGUUAGACAAAUUUCUGAGAGAUGAAAAAGAAAUAAAAUUAGAAUUCACAAAUUUCUAAAGAAUCGCGAAGGUGAAAAAUAGUGUUUAUAAUAUAAUGACAUUAGAAAAUUUCAAGAUAUAUACCUUCUCCAAAGCUGUAUUAUGGAUGAUGGUAUUGAUGUCACACCCCAAAAAAUGCUCUUCCGCAUGAUCGUCAAUUUUUACUUCCUUUACCCUUGGUGUACUUGGGACUGUCUCACAAAAAUAUUCCAUCUGAGGGCAUCCUUUCACCUCAAAUUGUUCCAAGGAUGGGAAUUUGAAGAUACAUCUAGUUGAGCAGAACCAUUUUAGACUUUGUAAGUGAACAAGUCUCAACCUUUGUAAUUUGGAGAAAACAAUAUCAUAUGGUUCUUCACCUCCCUCAUGUCUGACUAUUUCUUCCACCAAUUCGCAUUUUUCUAUAGUAAGCACUUUGAGCUGCACCAAUGUUUUAGCCAUUGAGGAAGUCACCAGAUAUAUUAAAUUUCCACAACCACGUACUUCUAGAGAAUGAAGAUUCUUAAAAAUUUGACCUGUCUCAACUUGAUAUUCCUUAUCAACAAGUUCGAAUACCUCUUUCACUGAAUUACACUUGUUCACAUGAAGUUCCUCUAGAUUAUGCAACUUUGGAAGCACAUUGGAGGGGAUCACAACCAAAAUGUCGUGACACUCUCUUAUCCUCAAAAGUCUCAGCUUGCAAAAUGACUCCCCUGAAAAUUGGCCUUGCCAUAUUUUCAUCUUGGGGCCCAUUAAGAUCAAUUGCUCCAAAUUAAGGAAUGCAUCCUGACAACCAAACAAACAAGAUUAACGAUAUGUCUUCUAUCUCUCUCUCUCUCUCUCUCUCUCUCUCUCCCCCCUCCCCAAACCCCCCUCUCCAACCUCCCUUUUUGUGGCUAAAUAAAUAAGUUAUAUACACAAUUGUAUGUACAAAAAUAUUUUAAAAUAAAGUAAAAAAGAAUACUCUUGUGGCAUACAAUUUUUUUUUUCUUAUUGUUAUGACUUAUAACUAAGGACCAUGUUUGUUUACUUACCAAAUUAAAAAAAAAAAAAAGUUUUCCAUAAUUUCCUUUCUAAUUUAUACUUAAUUACAUGAGUUUAGUUUCUUUUUUAUGUAUUUCAUCCAACGGCCCAUGCCAAAAAUUAAGUUAGGGGGAAAAAAAAUUUAGGAAUUAAUUUCAAGGAAAAAGAAAAGAAAAAAAAAAUUACCUAUGUAGCUUGAUGGCUAAUCAACAUUGCCCUUACAACUAAUGUCACAAUUAAACACAUACACAUAUUAUUUUCCAUACAAGAUAACAAACCACUACAUCUAAAUAAUCCAUUUCAAUUAUUUGCACUAUAUAUUAAUGACCAAAGACUCUCCCAAAUAAUUAGCACUUGACAUAUUUUGAUGCAAUAUAGAAAUUACCAUAUCUUGGUUUGAGAAUAAUUUAAAUAAACCAAUUCUUAUGGUUUUAUAUGAAUUCUUUGAAUUCAAUAUUAAUGUAAGCAUAACAUAAAAAAAGAGGCUUCAAAAUAAUUUAUUUUCAUUAUAGGUUCAAUCAUGUUAAUUUAAAUAAAUCAAUUAUUUAAAUUUAUUAUAAUUUGUUGGUUCUAUUACAUAAAAUUAUAAUUUGACCAUGAAGGUAUAAUUGUUGGAUAAACCAUAAUGCAUGCUAUACCUACAAACUCCUAUGACUUGUAACUGACUAUUUCUUAUUCUUUGGAUUACCAAGUCAUUUUAUCGUAAUUUGAUUAAUUUAGAAAUGGAACAUAAGCUUACUUAGGUCAAUUUUGGAUAAGUUUUAUACAAAAUGUAGACUUCAAAUUCCAACACUAUUCAAGUUUAAGAUUAAAACAUUAUCAUAUUAAUGAAAAAUGAUUAGGACGUAGUGUUUAAUGGACUAAAUUUAGCAAUCCAAAUAUGGCAAAAGAAAUGGAGAAAAACCAAACCAUACCUUUUCCAACAAGAAGAAAGAUUGUUGAAUUGGACUAUCAAUAUAACCUUCUGAAUCUAUUUCUUGAAAAAGUGUCCCCACUUGAUCCCAUUUCAACAUAAUUAGCUUUUUCAAAUGUGGCCCUCUUGCAAUACGUGUUCCUCGGUAGAAACCUUUGAGUUUGUCUAAUCCUUCGAGUGUGAGAGAGGUUAGUUUAGGGAAUAAUGAAGACUUUACUUCAUCUCCAUGUUCAUUUGCAACAAUUUCCUCCACUCCACAAUUUAUUAUCUGUAGUUCAUGAAGUUGCACAAGGCCUUCUGCUACCGUAAUUGGAAAAAGAUAUUUUAAACAAGGACACCUAGCAACUUUUAAGAACAGUAGGUUUUGAAAGGAGACAAGUCCUUGAGGAUCCUUAUUCCAUACACUCUUCAAACUAUUUAGCCUCUCUAAAAACAAAUGAAGCAAUGGAAUGGUUGCAAUAUCAUGAAUUUCCUUGCAAUUUACUCCCUGUAGAUCAAAAAUCUCUUCUAUGGAAUCACAAUCAUCUAUUUUCACAUAUUCCAAACUUUGUAACCCUUUUAGGAUAUUGGAUGGAAAAACAUUUAGUAAUUUGUUGCACUUUGAUAUUUCCAAACUUUUAAAGUUGCAACAAGACUCUAGAGGAAGUUGGUUGUGCCAAAUUGCUAUCACAUUAUCCAAGGAUUCCAUUGUCAAGUCCUCCAAGCUAGGGAGUGUAACCUGCACAAUCGAUCACAUUUGGUUAACAAUAUGUAUACCCAUGUAUAUAUAUUCCCGAUUGAGUUAAUAACCAGAUACAUAAAUAAAUAGAAUAUAAGAGGUUAAAGGUCAAGAUAUCAAUGUGACAAAGCACAAAACUAGAAGAAAAUGAAAGAGAAUGCAUAAUAUUUUAACAAUUGAAUGGAAUUUAAAGAUGUUAAAUUUGAGAUGAUUUUCAAAUGGGGCAACAGGUUCCCAAUCUUUGGAUCUCUUUUUCAAAAUUGACAAAGCCUAAUGGAUUAUAUAUGUAUUUGAAGCACCCAUGAUAGCCAUCCAUCGAUAUGUUUCAUAGUCUUAUAACAAGUAUCUACUCUUUUUACCAUGCAGUGAUUCCAUUCAAAAUAUUCCACAUAAAUACAAUAAAAAUAACUAUUAAAGCGGGGUGGUUGAAGACCAGGUGGUUUAUGAUGAGGCCUUUCCUUCUAGUUUUUCCUUACUUAGGAAACCACAAAUGCAAUAGAUGCUCAGGCAUGAGCCUUCUUCAUUCACUAAUUAACCUAGCCUUUAGAUUCUUAAAGCUUGUUUGUUGGUGUAACAUAUAUAUAUUUGAGAAUAAUAUUUUUUUAAAUUUACACCAGUAUUUGAAAGUUGUUCUUGAAUAAAUUUUUAAAAAGAAAGUAAAAUAAAGAAUUAUUUUUAGAAAAUAAGUAGAAAUUACUUUCAUCUAUUUUUAAAAACAAAAGGAAACCAUCAACAAAUAAAAAAUAUAUAUUAGAAAAAAAUCAUUAAAAAAAUAAAGUUUAACAAAAUUUCAUGCCUCUAAAUUACACAAUUUUUUUCUAAAUUUCUUUUAACUUAAAUUUUUUUACUAUAAAAAGAGAUUCUAAAUCAAGUUACAUUUAAUAUAUAUAUAUAUAUAUAUAUAUAUAUAUAUAUAUAUAUAUAUAAUUUUAGAAUAAAAAAACUAAGGCAAUAAAUACUAGAAAAUCAUGGAACUUAAAAUCAAUCUAACUAAUAUUAAAAAAUAACAAUUUAAAUCUCAUCUUGAAUUACUUUACUAAUUUCUUCUUGACAAUAACUAUAUUUUUUAAUAGGCAAAUAAACCCCAAAUCAAGGAAGACUUGAUGUAUUGGAAUCUGGCAAGUUUAACAAUAAUUUAAAACUUUAAUACUAAUCUAAUGAAUUCAAAAAAUUUAUGAAUGAAAAUCGGUUCAAAACACUAUAGACAAAUAAACUCUAAAUCAAGUAAGACUUAAUAUUUAGAUUCACUAUCAAGUCUAUUAAAUUUAAAAAGUAAUUUAUGAUUCAUAAAAUAACCCAAUCACCACUAGAAAUUCAACGAUUAAAACUAGUCUAGAACAACUUUUUUUUUACUUCUCCUCUAUAUGUAAUUAUAUUUUGAUGAUUUUUUAUUAGAAAAUAAUUUUAAAUCAAACAAGACUUAAAAGUUUUAGAUUUAUUAAUGAUUGCACUCAUUUUUAAAAAUAAUCUGGAACUCAAAAAUAAGUUUAGACAAUAAUUGAAUAUAAUAAACCAAAACUAGUCCAAAAUGAGUCUAUGAGAGCUAUAUUGUUUCUCCUUUGCACCUUACUAUACUUUUCCAAUUUUUCUCAUUAAGUAAAUAAGCUAAAUAAAGUGAUAUCAAAACUUAAUGCUUUAGAUUCUCUAAUGAAUAUAUUAAUUUUUAAGAAUAAGAUGGAAUUAAAAAAAUUGACUGAAUUAAUUUUAAAUUGAAUCAAAAUUGGUUCAAAAUACUUUAUCCAUUGCUGAGUAUUGAAAAAUCUAACUUAUUUACAUAUAUAUAAAAAAAUAAACUUUAAUUUUUAAUUUAUUUUAAAUAAAACAUUAUUAAUCAUUAGCAUUUUUAAAUUAUAACCAUUCAUAUUUAACAAAAAAUCAAUUAUGCAUUUGUAAAAACAUUGAUAUCCAUAUUUUAUAAUUUAUAUUAAAAUGGCUCAAUUUCUAAAUUAAAAAAAAAAUCAUGAUUUUAUUAUAAUAUUAAUAUCCAUAUUUUAAUACAAACCAUUUAUUUUGUUAAUUUAUUAGUAAUUAAAAAAAAUUAUUUCCAUAAGACUUGAAUUAAAUCGAAUUAAUAUUAUAUAAAUCAACUUUACAUUUUUUUUUUUUUUACAAAAUCUAAAUAUAACAUUUAUUUUAAAAACGACAAAAGUUAAUAAACGAAUGAGUUUUUUUAUUUUUUGUUGUUUAAAAGUGUUUUUAAAAACAUUUCAAACACUCUUUAUUUUGAGAACAAAAAAUCUAGAAAAUUUUUUGGCAACUACCAAAAAAAAUAAAACCUGCUCUCCAAAACAUAAAGCAUGUGUUUCUUGUGAACAUAUUUUAGUUAUUUUAAUUGUUUUCACUUAAUUUAUUUGUUUAUUUAAAAAAAAACAAAUAUAAAGAAUAAUAAAAAAUAAAACAUUCCAUCUAAAAUUUAUUCUUAAAAAAUAUUUGAAAACAUAAAAAAUAAGUUGAAAACAUUGUAAGUUGUUAAUACACCUAUCAAAAAAAAAUUGUAAGUUAUUAAUGUACUCUACUCUAAAAAACAUCAUAGAAUUAUUUUAAAAAUUGUUUUCAAAAAUUGAUUUUUGAAUAAUGUAUUUAAAUUGGAUACUGGUUGUUUUAAUUUAUGUUUUCUCGUAAAUUUAUGGGGCAGAGAGACUAGAAAAGAAAAGGAAAGUGAUAAAAUUUAUGGGGGCAAAGCAUACUGCAUCCAUAUUAUGGAUAAAAUUAAGAUUAUUUUAAAUUGGAUACUGGUUGUUUUCAUUUAUGUUUUCUCAUAUUUUACUUAUUUAUUAAUGGCAGAAAUUGGAUAUCAUUCAAAUUUUAACAUACCUGUUCAUUGAAGAAUGGUGUGGGAACAUCACUCGUACAUAACUCCUGGGUAGCACUGCUUCCUGUGGAGGAGAAGUCCCGUGUCGAAUCCAAGGAUCCCAUUUCAGGUAACACCGAUCCAUUCUUUCCUUGCUCCAUCGGAAGGGAUAUGAAAGAUUUCAACCUCUUACAACCAAUCACUAGUAGAGAACGUAACUUCCCAAAAGAUCCCUCUGGAAUUGGACCAUAGCAUACUGCAUCCAUGUUAUAGAGAUUCCCAAGACGCAAUUCCUCCAAGAUAGGAAGGGCACUGUGUGAUGGGACCCCUUUGGUCGAGUCAACAAUGUAUUGAAUCCCAGGACAAUUUCCGAUAACAAGAUGCUUGAGUUGAAGAAAAUCAUCUGUAUCAAACUCGUAAAGGACAUGCUUAGUGUCCUCCAAGUCAUGCAAUUCUAAAACUUCAACUGUCUUGAACAGCUUGGAAAAGCAGUCCACCAAGCAAGGUUUGUUAACCCUCCAGAGCUUCAACGUUCUUGCGGAUCUAUUAUGAUCAACAUAUCCUGGAAUGGAAUACACUGAUAUCACAUAUCUGGUAAGCUUCUCAAAGACCAGAUCUUUUGAUAGCAAAUUGGGUACCGUUAUUUCUAUAUAUAAAGUCUUCAAAUAGGACAAGUUGUUCAGCUCAGAAAGGCAAGCAUUAUUGCUUUCUCCACUACCAAAUCCUUCAGCCCCCCAUUUGGUAAAACUUUUUGCUAAACAUAAAUGCUCCAAUCGAGAUAAACUUGAUAUGACAUUUUGGGGAAUUACUUCGAGAUGAGAGCAAUCCCACAAGUCCAGCACCCUUAGAUCAGUCAAUUGCAUGAAUUCUUUCGGCAACCGUUCAAUUUCGCAACUUGCAAAACUAAGAACUUGUAGUUUCUUUAGCUCUCCGAUUAAUGCCAUGUCUUGGAGUGUGCAUCGGUAUACACGCAAUGUUCGAAGAUUGGAAAGAAAACCAAGUGAUGAAGGCAGUGGUGUAAGAUGCCUUGCAGACAAGUCCAAAACUUUUAGUAGUUCCGUCUCUUGAAAAAAGGUGUUUGGAAUUCUCAAAGACGGAUCAUUACCAUUCAAUAAAAAGAAUUCAAGUUUGGAACAUACCAAUCUUUCCGGAAGCUCACGGAGAUCUCCGCAUUGCAAAGAUAUACGACUGCAAUUUCUGAACUCCUCCUUCCUUUGCCAUUCUUCUAAUCCAAGAGCUUCUUUGAUCACAACAAAUCGAUGAGGAUCUUUUGCUGCAAUUGCUCUGGCAACAUCACCAACAACAUCAUGCAUUCUGACAAACUUGUUUUCAUCAUUAUUUCCGAAAAACACACCUGGCCCCACACCUGACCGAUAACGAUCUUCAGCAUCAAGCAGCAAGCUCGAGUCUUUGAGGAUUUUGACCAAUGUCACUAGUUUAUUUCUUAUUUGCUCCAAUGAACUCACGUGUUCAAACAAAUCCAAACCCAUGCCAUAUUUUAACAAUUGAUCCAGUGAAAUAUCACCAUAGCCCAGCAUACCACAAAGUAAGAACAAACGCUUCACUUCAUCACCUUUCAAGUGGUUGUAGCUCAACUCCAGACAUGAGUAUACUUUUUCAUGCACGUCCUCGAUGUUUAUUGCUGCAGAAUUCUCCAGUUCUAGCAAAGCAUUGUUCCACACAGCCUCAUCACUCUCGCCUUUUAACGCCUUUGCAACUGUUACAAUGGCAACUGGUAGACCAUCACAUUCUCUAAGUACUUUAAUUGCUAUGGAUUUAAGCUGCUCCACUGAAUCACCUGCUGUCUUCUUAAAUAAACUCCAGGCUUCCUCUUCACAUAAAUGUUGAACACGGAAGUUUUUUUGAGUAGCCAUCUUUCUAGAUAACACACCCUGUUUUCUGGAAGUCAGCAGCACUUUACACCCCCUAUGAGCAUCUCCAUGAGGAAUUCCGAUGUUUUCCAGACUAAGUUCUUCCCAAAUAUCAUCCAGAAUCACCAGGACCGUCUUAUUUUUUUGCAAACUUUUGCUUAAGCGGGCUGCUCUUCCCGAUUCCUCUUCCUCCUCAAAUUUCAAACCUAACAUGCUUGCAAUUUCUCCUUGAAUUUUUGUCACGUUCGGAACUCGGGAUAUAUUUAAUGCCAUAACCACCUUUUCAAAUAACUUAUCUUCCUCGGCCUUUUUCGCUACUUGAUUGGCAAGAGUGGUUUUGCCCACACCGCCCAUCCCCCACACACCAAUCAUUCUGAUAUCAUCAUUUCUCAAGGCCUCCAUAAUUUCGUUUAAAAUAGAUGCCCUCGAUUCCAAAGCUCCACAAUCUCUGAGGCGUGGAGACCAUAUCCCUUGUGGAGGAAGGCCAUAUGAUACCCUGUUAAAUUUAUUUUCUUCUUGGAUUUUACCAAUAUCCCCAGACUGCUUCUUCGCUUGCCUGCUUCGCUGGUACCGCAACUUUAAAUUGAAACAGCUCGUGCUUGCAGCCUUCUCAUCUUCAAUCAAUUCCUUUGCCGUUUGGAUGAUCCCUUCUGUACGUGUCAGCCACUUCUGGACAUCAGGUUCGAUCUCAUCCCCUUGCCUAUUAGCGUCAUCCACAUCUCGCUGCCGCCUCUCCCUUGCAUCACCCAGCUUGUCAACUUGUUCCUCAAGGUUAUCAAGGUUGCUACGGUAGUUAAACAGGUAACCCAGUGGACGUACAAUGGGAGCAACCAGGUACUCUGCAACUUUUGCUGCAAUGGAAAUAAGAAUUUCUGCCAUUUCCCAAGUUUUCUUUCUCUAGAAAUAGAUGGGAAUUGUGCAACAGCAGAUAUCAAAAAGGGAAACGACAGCAGGAGAAGGAAAACACACUAAAAUUUUUGAUAUUUAAUUGAGUGUGACAGAUGAAAAUAAGGAGAUGAAAGGUUGGAGGUAUCAAAAGAGCAGAGUAUGUGGAAGGUUUCAGCUAUCAAAGAAACAAGAAUUUUUUCUUUUUCUUUUUUUCUUUUUUUCCAAAGAGGGAGAAGGGAAACACACCAACAAAUAGGAAAAUGAGAUUGGUUACUAGUAAGAAAGAGAACAAAGGGCAGAGAGCGGGAAUAUUGAGUGAUGAACUGACAAAUGGGCUACAGAUUCAGAUUCAAGAGAAAAAGCUCAAUCAAUGCUAUUGGAAUCAACUAGACAAAAGGAAAACCAGAGAAGGAGAAGUGAGACCGGCCCAGCCAAAUUAAGAUUUUCACGGAGCAGAACACCGGAUUGAAAGCGGGAUCUGGACGAGUUAGGAUGGAGGUGAAGAGAAGGGAGUGAUUAUGGACGAGUAAAUCGCAGAAGAAUGAAAGCAGUAGAGAGAAGGGCCUCAGGAGAAGGAAAACACACAAAAAAAAUGGUAUUCAAUUGAGUGUGACAGAUGAAAAUAAGGAGAUGAAAGGUUUGAGGUAUCCAAAGAGUGUGGAAGGUUUCAGCUAUUAUGAAGGAAACCAGAAAUCUUUUUUUUUUUUUUUUUUUUUGCCGGUUACAAGAGGAGAGGAGAGGAGAGGAGAGGAGAAACGCAAACCAGCAAAUGAAAAUGAGAUUGAUUACUUGGAAGAACGAGCGUGAAGGGGAGAAAGUAGGAAGAGUUGAUAAAAUGAGAGAAGGGCUACAGAGUGGAAACUGAGGAAAAGGGCUGCAGAGUGGAGACUGAGUAAUAUCCAUCACUGACAAUGACUCAUUUUAGUUUUAGUCGCACAUCACAUGUUUGAAUUUGGCAACCAAGACACCAAAAUAACUAAGCUUAUCUGGCUAAGUUGAUUACUAUAGAAAUUGGUUGAAAAUACUUCAUGUAACAUUUAAAAUAUCUUCUUUAUUCAAACACUUUCAUCAAUUCAUUUCUUCCAUUUAUAAUAAAAAUUUUAUACAAUUAUUUUUUAAAAUUACUCACAACAAACAAAGUAAAAAAAUAAACUUUAAAUAAUUAAAAUAUAUUUUUAUAAAACACACUGUUUUCGCAAUAAGAUCUUAAAAAAUUAUUUUUUAAAAAUAUUUUUUAAGUAUGAAAAAUAAUGCUUCUAUUUUUAAGAAAUAAAAGUGUUUUUAAAAAUAGUUAAAAACAUACUCAAAGGUUUUGAUUGGGCGGUGGUUUAAUAAGCACAACAACCUGUCAGCCUUGCAUUUUCAACUAAAGCAAAUUUCUUUGGACUUGGAUCCUUGCUUGAGUGUAAGGAGGUAUUAUUAUUGUGGACUGAAAUUAUUGAGUUUACGGCCAAAGUAGUAUUUCUUUGGAAAAAAAAACCCAAACUAAUCCAGUUUUCAAACUAUUUGCCAAAAUACUCUUUUGAAUCCACAUCAGCAAUCCACGUCAACAAGCCAUCUUCGUCAAACUUGUUUUUUUACUUUGGAGACCCAAUUUUUUCCCGAAAUCAACAAUCCAGAAAGUAUUCUCUGCGGCUCCAUUUUUCGGGUUCAUGAGUUUUUUCCCACUCAUUUUCCUUAGCUUUCUCACCAACCAAACAGAGGAAAACAAGUUGUUUUGAAAAUUUUAAAAAUCUCAAGUUGUUUUCAAUUUCAUAGCUAUCCAAAAAACUUGAAAAACCCUUUCCUCCACCUUGUAUUCCUCUUAUCCUGGAACCCGAAAAACCCUAACCUUUGCCUCAUUUUCCUCUCAUCUCGGAAUCCUGAUAGCUGUCGAUCUGCCCAUGAUUCAUUUUCAUCGUGAUCCAAAAUAUGGAGUUCGGAUUGGAUGAAGGUGGGGGAGAGAGAGAGACUUGGAGAGGUUAAGGUUUAUACCUUAGCCACAGAUCCAUUCAGGGGAAGUUCGUUAUUGUUGUCUAUUUUACUAGAAUUAUUGCUCAAAUUAAAAUUACAAUGAUCAAGAUCUGAUAAUAGGUUGUUGUCCAACGGGUCUUCAGAAACAUAAUGACAUGUCUCAUGGUUGUCCAUAGAAAGAUCAUUUUCUGGGUCAACCAUGAAGUGGCUAUCACUUGUAUCUGAGCCCAACAAACUGUGUUCACCCACAUUCUUUCCAGAAGCAUCUCCUGAUAUAAUAAAGUUAGCAAGAGUCUUUUGUGUCGGAUCAGAUAGAUGACCAUCCUUGUCCUCAUUGAAAUGAGACAUGCGCGGGCCUACAAAAGACAGCAGAAUUGGGGUUUCGAAAGGGAGAAAAAAAAAAUUCUUUUUUCUAUAAAAAUGGAGUUAAUAUGUUGGAAAUUAACAUAGUUACAAUGCAUCAAGUGG
rnacentral:lncRNA from 1 species